GUUAUAAAAGGUGAAACCUGUUGAAAAUUUAGCUAUUCAUUAGUGGUUGAAAGAUGCUUUCCAAAUACUCUGCUUUUAUUGUAUAGAACCAAUCAUUC